rnacentral:rRNA from 14 species
GAAUCUUGCGCAAUGGGGGAAACCCUGACGCAGCGACGCCGCGUGCGGGAUGAAGGCUUUCGGGUCGUAAACCGCAGUAAACGGGGAAGAAUUAUUGACGGUACCCGUCCAAAGCACCGGCUAACUACGUGCCAGCAGCCGCGGUAAUACGUAGGGUGCAAGCGUUGUCCGGAUUUAUUGGGCGUAAAGAGCUCGUAGGCGGUUUGUCGCGUCUGCUGUGAAAACGCGAGGCUCAACCUCGCGCCUGCAGUGGGUACGGGCAAACUAGAGUGCGGUAGGGGAGAUUGGAAUUCCUGGUGUAGCGGUGGAAUGCGCAGAUAUCAGGAGGAACACCGAUGGCGAAGGCAGAUCUCUGGGCCGUAACUGACGCUGAGGAGCGAAAGCAUGGGGAGCGAACAGGAUUAGAUACCCUGGUAGUCCAUGC